UGGGGAAUAUUGGACAAUGGGGGAAACCCUGAUCCAGCCAUGCCGCGUGAGUGAUGAAGGCCUUAGGGUUGUAAAGCUCUUUUAUCAGGGAAGAUGAUGACGGUACCUGAAGAAUAAGCACCGGCUAACUUCGUGCCAGCAGCCGCGGUAAUACGAAGGGUGCUAGCGUUGUUCGGAAUCACUGGGCGUAAAGCGCGCGUAUGCGGCUAUUCAAGUCAGGGGUGAAAUCCUGAGGCUCAACCUCAGAAUUGCCUUUGAAACUGUAUAGCUAGAGUGUCGGAGGGGAUAGCGGAAUUGCUAAUGUAGAGGUGAAAUUCGUAGAUAUUAGCAGGAACACCGGUGGCGAAGGCGGCUAUCUGGACGACAUCUGACGCUGAGGCGCGAAAGCGUGGGGAUCAAACAG
rnacentral:rRNA from 1 species